AGUGAGAGUUCAUUUCCAUCGUGGCGAUUGCUGGAAGAAGACAACGAGACGUCGUCGAACACGGACGAGCGGGCCUUACUCUUCGCUGCCUGUGGAGUACGUGCGAUCUGCGAGCGUCACCUGGUGCAGGUAGGUUUGAGUUUGCUGCUACCAGAGUCUUUCAGUUUUUAUACGAACAUCGUUUCUGUGACGCACUGAAUGUGGAAAUCAAGAUGAAAUCACAUGGAGGCCACAAUAUAUCAUCAAGUUGUUGAGUAUCGAAUGGCCAAAUAUCGAGUGAAAAUUGCACACCGACUCCUUCACCGGGAAUUGCUCUGAAAAUAAUUUAUGAAGUCUUUUCAACUACUGCUUCUCUGUACACUGACCCCUUCACCAGGAAUCGCUCUGAAAAUAAUUUAAAAAGUCGUUUCAACCACUGCUACUCUGCACACUGACCCCUUCACCAGGAAUCGCUCUGAAAAUAAUUUAAAAAGUCCUUUUAACUACUGCUGCUGCUCUGCACACUGACUCCUUCACCAGGAAUCUUUCCAGAAACAUUUUACCAGGUCUUUUCAACUACUGCUGCUCUGCACACUGUCCCUUACAUCAGGAAUUGCUCUGAGAAUAAUUUAAAAAGUCCUUUCCACUACCACUGCUCUGCACACUGACUCCUUCACCAGGAUUCUUUCCAGAAACAUGUUACCAGGUCCUUUCCACUACCACUGCUCUGCACACUGACUCCUUCACCAGGAUUCUUUCCAGAAACAUGUUACCAGGUCCUUUCCACUACUUCUGCUCUGCACACUGACUCCUUCACCAGGAUUCUUUCCAGAAACAUGUUACCAGGUCCCUUCAACUACUUUUGCUC